rnacentral:rRNA from 1 species
UACGUAGGGUGCGAGCGUUGUCCGGAAUUAUUGGGCGUAAAGAGCUCGUAGGCGGUCUGUCGCGUCGAUCGUGAAAACUUGGGGCUUAACCCUGAGCUUGCGGUCGAUACGGGCAUGACUGGAGUUCGGCAGGGGAGACUGGAAUUCCUGGUGUAGCGGUGAAAUGCGUAGAGAUCAUGAGGAAGACCAGUGGCGAAGGCGGGUCUGCUGGACAGUUCCUGACACUGAGGCACGAAGGCCAGGGGAGCAAACGGG